UACGGGAGGCAGCAGUGGGGAAUAUUGCACAAUGGGGGAAACCCUGAUGCAGCGACGCCGCGUGAAGGAUGAAGUAUUUCGGUAUGUAAACUUCUAUCAGCAAGGAAGAAAAUGACGGUACUUGACUAAGAAGCCCCGGCUAAAUACGUGCCAGCAGCCGCGGUAAU
rnacentral:rRNA from 1 species